rnacentral:rRNA from 1 species
GUAGGGGGCAAGCGUUGUCCGGAUUUACUGGGCGUAAAGCGCGUGUAGGUGGGGAAGCGCGUCGGACGUGAAAGGCGGGAGCUCAACUCCCGAGCGGCGUUCGAAACGGCUUCUCUUGAGGACCGAAGAGGAGAGUGGAAUUCCUGGUGUAGCGGUGAAAUGCGUAGAGAUCAGGAGGAACACCCGUGGCGAAGGCGGCUCUCUGGUCGGUAUCUGACGCUGAGACGCGAAAGCGUGGGGAGCGAACGGGAUUAGAUACCCCGGUAGUCCACGCCGUAAACGAUGGUCACUAGGUGUAUGCGGUAUCGACCCCGCAUGGGCCGCAGCUCACGCAAUAAGUGACCCGCCUGGGGAGUACGGCCGCAAGGUUG